UUACCGGUAAUCAAACCAGCGUGCGCUGGAUU
rnacentral:sRNA from 1 species